CAGUAGCCGCGGGAAUACAGAGGGUGCAAGCGUUAAUCGGAUUUACUGGGCGUAAAGGGCGCGUAGGUGGUUAUGUAAGUGAGAUGUGAAAUCCCCGGGCUCAACCUGGGAACUGCAUCUUAUACUGCGUAGCUGGAGUGCAGUAGAGGGUAGUGGAAUUUCCGGUGUAGCGGUGAAAUGCGUAGAUAUCGGAAGGAACACCAGUGGCGAAGGCGGCUACCUGGACUGACACUGACACUGAGGCGCGAAAGCGUGGGGAGCAAACAGGAUUAGAUACCCCUGUAGUCCCUGUCUCUUAUAC
rnacentral:rRNA from 1 species